rnacentral:rRNA from 1 species
GUUUCUUCGGAAAUGGAUUAGCGGCGAACGGGUGAGGAACACGUGAAGAAUCUGCCCUCCACUUUGGGAUAACACCGGGAAACCGGUGCUAAUACUGAAUAUUGAAACAUAAGUGGCAUCACUGAGUUUUGAAAGAAUUUCGGUGGAGGAUGACUUCGCGGCCUAUCAGCUAGUCGGUGAGGUAAUGGCUCACCAAGGCAACGACGGGUAGCCGGCCUGAGAGGGCGACCGGCCACACUGGGACUGAGACACGGCCCAGACUCCUACGGGAGGCAGCAGUGGGGAAUAUUGGGCAAUGGAGGAAACUCUGACCCAGCGACGCCGCGUGCGGGAUGAAGGCCUUCGGGUUGUAAACCGCUUUCAGUAGGGAAGAAGCGAAAGUGACGGUACCUACAAAAGAAGCACCGGCUAACUAUGUGCCAGCAGCCGCGGUAAUACAUAGGGUGCAAGCGUUGUCCGGAAUUAUUGGGCGUAAAGAGCUCGUAGGUCGUUUGUUACGUCGGAUGUGAAAGCCUGAGGCUCAACCUCAGGCCUGCAUUCGAUACGGGCAAACUAGAGUUUGGUAGGGGAGACUGGAAUUCCUGGUGUAGCGGUGGAAUGCGCAGAUAUUAGGAGGAACACCAAUGGCGAAGGCAGGUCUCUGGGCCAAUACUGACACUGAGGAGCGAAAGUCUGGGGAGCGAACAGGAUUAGAUACCCUGGUAGUCCAGACCGUAAACGGUGGGCACUAGUUGUGGGAACCUUCCACGGUU